rnacentral:rRNA from 1 species
UUAAGUGACUAAGCGUACACGGUGGAUGCCCUGGCAGUCAGAGGCGAUGAAGGACGUGCUAAUCUGCGAUAAGCGUCGGUAAGGUGAUAUGAACCGUUAUAACCGGCGAUUUCCGAAUGGGGAAACCCAGUGUGUUUCGACACACUAUCAUUAACUGAAUCCAUAGGUUAAUGAGGCGAACCGGGGGAACUGAAACAUCUAAGUACCCCGAGGAAAAGAAAUCAACCGAGAUUCCCCCAGUAGCGGCGAGCGAACGGGGAGCAGCCCAGAGCCUGAAUCAGUGUGUGUGUUAGUGGAAGCGUCUGGAAAGGCGCGCGAUACAGGGUGACAGCCCCGUACACAAAAAUGCACAUACUGUGAGCUCGAUGAGUAGGGCGGGACACGUGGUAUCCUGUCUGAAUAUGGGGGGACCAUCCUCCAAGGCUAAAUACUCCUGACUGACCGAUAGUGAACCAGUACCGUGAGGGAAAGGCGAAAAGAACCCCGGCGAGGGGAGUGAAAAAGAACCUGAAACCGUGUACGUACAAGCAGUGGGAGCACGCUUAGGCGUGUGACUGCGUACCUUUUGUAUAAUGGGUCAGCGACUUAUAUUCUGUAGCAAGGUUAACCGAAUAGGGGAGCCGAAGGGAAACCGAGUCUUAACUGGGCGUUAAGUUGCAGGGUAUAGACCCGAAACCCGGUGAUCUAGCCAUGGGCAGGUUGAAGGUUGGGUAACACUAACUGGAGGACCGAACCGACUAAUGUUGAAAAAUUAGCGGAUGACUUGUGGCUGGGGGUGAAAGGCCAAUCAAACCGGGAGAUAGCUGGUUCUCCCCGAAAGCUAUUUAGGUAGCGCCUCGUGAAUUCAUCUCCGGGGGUAGAGCACUGUUUCGGCAAGGGGGUCAUCCCGACUUACCAACCCGAUGCAAACUGCGAAUACCGGAGAAUGUUAUCACGGGAGACACACGGCGGGUGCUAACGUCCGUCGUGAAGAGGGAAACAACCCAGACCGCCAGCUAAGGUCCCAAAGUCAUGGUUAAGUGGGAAACGAUGUGGGAAGGCCCAGACAGCCAGGAUGUUGGCUUAGAAGCAGCCAUCAUUUAAAGAAAGCGUAAUAGCUCACUGGUCGAGUCGGCCUGCGCGGAAGAUGUAACGGGGCUAAACCAUGCACCGAAGCUGCGGCAGCGACGCUGAUGCGUUGUUGGGUAGGGGAGCGUUCUGUAAGCCUGCGAAGGUGUGCUGUGAGGCAUGCUGGAGGUAUCAGAAGUGCGAAUGCUGACAUAAGUAACGAUAAAGCGGGUGAAAAGCCCGCUCGCCGGAAGACCAAGGGUUCCUGUCCAACGUUAAUCGGGGCAGGGUGAGUCGACCCCUAAGGCGAGGCCGAAAGGCGUAGUCGAUGGGAAACAGGUUAAUAUUCCUGUACUUGGUGUUACUGCGAAGGGGGGACGGAGAAGGCUAUGUUGGCCGGGCGACGGUUGUCCCGGUUUAAGCGUGUAGGCUGGUUUUCCAGGCAAAUCCGGAAAAUCAAGGCUGAGGCGUGAUGACGAGGCACUACGGUGCUGAAGCAACAAAUGCCCUGCUUCCAGGAAAAGCCUCUAAGCAUCAGGUAACAUCAAAUCGUACCCCAAACCGACACAGGUGGUCAGGUAGAGAAUACCAAGGCGCUUGAGAGAACUCGGGUGAAGGAACUAGGCAAAAUGGUGCCGUAACUUCGGGAGAAGGCACGCUGAUAUGUAGGUGAAGCGACUUGCUCGUGGAGCUGAAAUCAGUCGAAGAUACCAGCUGGCUGCAACUGUUUAUUAAAAACACAGCACUGUGCAAACACGAAAGUGGACGUAUACGGUGUGACGCCUGCCCGGUGCCGGAAGGUUAAUUGAUGGGGUCAGCGCAAGCGAAGCUCUUGAUCGAAGCCCCGGUAAACGGCGGCCGUAACUAUAACGGUCCUAAGGUAGCGAAAUUCCUUGUCGGGUAAGUUCCGACCUGCACGAAUGGCGUAAUGAUGGCCAGGCUGUCUCCACCCGAGACUCAGUGAAAUUGAACUCGCUGUGAAGAUGCAGUGUACCCGCGGCAAGACGGAAAGACCCCGUGAACCUUUACUAUAGCUUGACACUGAACAUUGAGCCUUGAUGUGUAGGAUAGGUGGGAGGCUUUGAAGUGUGGACGCCAGUCUGCAUGGAGCCGACCUUGAAAUACCACCCUUUAAUGUUUGAUGUUCUAACGUUGACCCGUGAUCCGGGUUGCGGACAGUGUCUGGUGGGUAGUUUGACUGGGGCGGUCUCCUCCUAAAGAGUAACGGAGGAGCACGAAGGUUGGCUAAUCCUGGUCGGACAUCAGGAGGUUAGUGCAAUGGCAUAAGCCAGCUUGACUGCGAGCGUGACGGCGCGAGCAGGUGCGAAAGCAGGUCAUAGUGAUCCGGUGGUUCUGAAUGGAAGGGCCAUCGCUCAACGGAUAAAAGGUACUCCGGGGAUAACAGGCUGAUACCGCCCAAGAGUUCAUAUCGACGGCGGUGUUUGGCACCUCGAUGUCGGCUCAUCACAUCCUGGGGCUGAAGUAGGUCCCAAGGGUAUGGCUGUUCGCCAUUUAAAGUGGUACGCGAGCUGGGUUUAGAACGUCGUGAGACAGUUCGGUCCCUAUCUGCCGUGGGCGCUGGAGAACUGAGGGGGGCUGCUCCUAGUACGAGAGGACCGGAGUGGACGCAUCACUGGUGUUCGGGUUGUCAUGCCAAUGGCACUGCCCGGUAGCUAAAUGCGGAAGAGAUAAGUGCUGAAAGCAUCUAAGCACGAAACUUGCCCCGAGAUGAGUUCUCCCUGACUCCUUGAGAGUCCUGAAGGAACGUUGAAGACGACGACGUUGAUAGGCCGGGUGUGUAAGCGCAGCGAUGCGUUGAGCUAACCGGUACUAAUGAACCGUGAGGCUUAACCU